AGAGUUUGAUCCUGGCUCAGAUUGAACGCUGGCGGCAUGCCUUACACAUGCAAGUCGAACGGCAGCGCGGGGCAACCUGGCGGCGAGUGGCGAACGGGUGAGUAAUAUAUCGGAACGUGCCCUGGAGUGGGGGAUAACGCAGCGAAAGUUGCGCUAAUACCGCAUACGAUCUAAGGAUGAAAGCAGGGGACCGCAAGGCCUUGUGCUCCUGGAGCGGCCGAUAUCUGAUUAGCUAGUUGGUGGGGUAAAGGCCUACCAAGGCAUCGAUCAGUAGCUGGUCUGAGAGGACGACCAGCCACACUGGAACUGAGACACGGUCCAGACUCCUACGGGAGGCAGCAGUGGGGAAUUUUGGACAAUGGGCGAAAGCCUGAUCCAGC
rnacentral:rRNA from 1 species